GGCUGGAGUGCAGUGGUGCAGUGGUGCAAUCUCGGCUCACUGCAACCUCCGCCUCCUGGGUUCAAGCGAUUCCUGUGCCUCAGCCUCCUGAGUAGCUGGGAUUACAGGCAUGUGCCACCACGCCCAGCUAAUUUUUUUUUUUUUUUGUAUUUUUAGUAGAGACAAGGUUUUACCAUGUUGGCCAGGCUGGUCUCAAACUCCUGAUCUCAAGAGAUCUGCCUGCCUCGGCCUCCCAAAGUUCUGGGAUUACAGGUGUGAGCCACUCGACUCAGCCAAUAAUGCAUAUUUUUAUUUCCACCUGCUUUACUGUCAGAGUGAGUAAGACAGAGAAGAAAUCAUUAAACACCAGGAUUCUACUUCCUGCUGGAGUUUUCUGCCUGAGAUGUUAGGAGAGGAAAUUCUCAGGAUCUCAGAAAAUCACAUCUAUCACGGUUGGUAGAAGUAGAUUCUAGAGUCAGUCAGAACUGAGUUCAAGUCCCAACUGCAUGGCUUUGGGCAACUGACUUGUCCUCUCUGAAGCCCAGAUUCCCUUUCGGUAAUGUGGAGAUGGCAAUGUAUCUACCUCACAAAGCAGUGGUGAGAUUACAAUAAGGUAGGCAUGUAAAGCGCCAGGCACAUACUAACUGCUCAAUAAAUGGGAGGCAUCAUAAUUGUAUAUUAUUCACAGCCCAAGGAAAGUGUAGCCCAGAGAGGGCAAGGAACUUCCCUGAGGUCACACAGAAAAUCAUGUGCUGGUUGUAUGCCCUGGAAGUUGUGGAGAGGGAGUGUUGGGUAUCUCCUGGGGACCUGUCCUCUGAUGGGUUCUUGUUCCGGCUAGGACCCCCCAAACCCCCCACCGAGCUGGAGCCUGAGCCAGAGAUAGAGGGGCUGCUGACACCAGUGCUGGAGGCUGGCGAUGUGGAUGAAGGCCCUGUAGCAAGGCCUCUCAGCCCCACGAGGCUGCAGCCAGCACUGCCACCGGAGGCACAGUCGGUGCCCGAGCUGGAGGAGGUGGCACGGGUGUUGGCGGAAAUUCCCCGGCCCCUCAAACGCAGGGGCUCCAUGGAGCAGGCCCCUGCUGUGGCCCUGCCCCCUACCCACAAGAAACAGUACCAGCAGAUCAUCAGCCGCCUCUUCCAUCGUCAUGGGGGGCCAGGGCCCGGGGGGCCGGAGCCAGAGCUGUCCCCCAUCACUGAGGGAUCUGAGGCCAGGGCAGGGCCCCCUGCUCCUGCCCCACCAGCUCCCAUUCCACCCCCGGCCCUGUCCCAGAGCAGCCCACCAGAGCAGCCGCAGAGCAUGGAGAUGCGCUCUGUGCUGCGGAAGGCGGGCUCCCCGCGCAAGGCCCGCCGCGCGCGCCUCAACCCUCUGGUGCUCCUCCUGGACGCGGCGCUGACCGGGGAGCUGGAGGUGGUGCAGCAGGCGGUGAAGGAGAUGAACGACCCGAGCCAGCCCAACGAGGAGGGCAUCACUGCCUUGCACAACGCCAUCUGCGGCGCCAACUACUCCAUCGUGGAUUUCCUCAUCACCGCGGGUGCCAAUGUCAACUCCCCCGACAGCCACGGCUGGACACCCUUGCACUGCGCGGCGUCGUGCAACGACACAGUCAUCUGCAUGGCGCUGGUGCAGCACGGCGCUGCAAUCUUCGCCACCACGCUCAGCGACGGCGCCACCGCCUUCGAGAAGUGCGACCCUUACCGCGAGGGUUAUGCUGACUGCGCCACCUACCUGGCAGACGUCGAGCAGAGUAUGGGGCUGAUGAACAGCGGGGCAGUGUACGCUCUCUGGGACUACAGCGCCGAGUUCGGGGACGAGCUGUCCUUCCGCGAGGGCGAGUCGGUCACCGUGCUGCGGAGGGACGGGCCGGAGGAGACCGACUGGUGGUGGGCCGCGCUGCACGGCCAGGAGGGCUACGUGCCGCGGAACUACUUCGGGCUGUUCCCCAGGGUGAAGCCUCAAAGGAGUAAAGUCUAGCAGGAUAGAAGGAGGUUUCUGAGGCUGACAGAAACAAGCAUUCCUGCCUUCCCUCCAGACCUCUCCCUCUGUUUUUUGCUGCCUUUAUCUGCAUCCCUCACCCUGCUGGUGGUGGUCCUUGCCACCGGUUCUCUGUUCUCCCGGAAGUCCAGGGAAGAAGGAGGGCCCCAGCCUUAAAUUUAGUAAUCUGCCUUAGCCUUGGGAGGUCUGGGAAGGGCUGGAAAUCACUGGGGACAGGAAACCACUUCCUUUUGCCAAAUCAGAUCCCGUCCAAAGUGCCUCCCAUGCCUACCACCAUCAUCACAUCCCCCAGCAAGCCAGCCACCUGCCCAGCCGGGCCUGGGAUGGGCCACCACACCACUGGAUAUUCCUGGGAGUCACUGCUGACACCACCUCUCCCAGCAGUCUUGGGGUCUGGGUGGGAAACAUUGGUCUCUACCAGGAUCCCUGCCCCACCUCUCCCCAAUUAAGUGCCUUCACACAGCACUGGUUUAAUGUUUAUAAACAAAAUAGGGAAACUUUCCUUAUAAAUAAAAGUAGUUUGCACAGAAA
rnacentral:sRNA from 1 species